AGUGAACGCUGGCGGUAGGCCUAACACAUGCAAGUCGAACGGCAGCACAGUAAGAGCUUGCUCUUACGGGUGGCGAGUCGCGGACGGGUGAGGAAUACAUCGGAAUCUACUUUUUCGUGGGGGAUAACGUAGGGAAACUUACGCUAAUACCGCAUACGACCUACGGGUGAAAGCAGGGGAUCUUCGGACCUUGCGCGAUUGAAUGAGCCGAUGUGGGAUUAGCUAGUUGGCGGGGUAAAGGCCCACCAAGGCGACGAUCCGUAGCUGGUCUGAGAGGAUGAUCAGCCACACUGGAACUGAGACACGGUCCAGACUCCUACGGGAGGCAGCAGUGGGGAAUAUUGGACAAUGGGCGCAAGCCUGAUCCAGCCAUACCGCGUGGGUGAAGAAGGCCUUCGGGUUGUAAAGCCCUUUUGUUGGGAAAGAAAAGCAGCAGGUUAAUACCCCGCUGUUCUGACGGUACCCAAAGAAUAAGCACCGGCUAACUUCGUG
rnacentral:rRNA from 1 species